GGACCCGCACAAGUAGUGGAGCAUGUGGUUUAAUUCGAAGAUACGCGCAGAACCUUACCAACACUUGACAUGUUCGUCGCGACUUUAAGAGAUUAAAGUUUUCGGUUCGGCCGGACGAAACACAGGUGCUGCAUGGCUGUCGUCAGCUCGUGUCGUGAGAUGUUGGGUUAAGUCCCGCAACGAGCGCAACCCUCACUUUUAGUUGCCAUCAUUAAGUUGGGCACUCUGAAAGAACUGCCAGUGAUAAGCUGGAGGAAGGUGGGGAUGACGUCAAGUCCUCAUGGCCCUUACGUGUUGGGCUACACACGUGCUACAAUGAUAUCUACAACAGGAAGCGAGACGGCGACGUCAAGUAAAUCCUUAAAAGAUACCUCAGUUCGGAUUGCACUCUGCAACUCGAGUGCAUG
rnacentral:rRNA from 1 species